AACGAACGCUGGCGGCAUGCCUAACACAUGCAAGUCGAACGAGACCUUCGGGUCUAGUGGCGCACGGGUGCGUAACGCGUGGGAACCUGCCCUUAGGUUCGGAAUAACGUCGGGAAACUGACGCUAAUACCGGAUAAUGUCUUCGGACCAAAGAUUUAUCGCCUUUGGAUGGGCCCGCGUAGGAUUAGCUAGUUGGUGAGGUAACGGCUCACCAAGGCGACGAUCCUUAGCUGGUCUUAGAGGAUGAUCAGCCACACUGGGACUGAGACACGGCCCAGACUCCUACGGGAGGCAGCAGUGGGGAAUAUUGGACAAUGGGCGCAAGCCUGAUCCAGCAAUGCCGCGUGAGUGAUGAAGGCCUUAGGGUUGUAAAGCUCUUUUACCCGGGAUGAUAAUGACAGUACCGGGAGAAUAAGCCCCGGCUAACUCCGUGCCAGCAGCCGCCGUAA
rnacentral:rRNA from 1 species